CGCGGUAAUUCCGGCUCCAAUAGCGUAUAUUAAAGUUGUUGCCGUUAAAAAGCUCGUAGUUGAACCUUGGGUCUGGCUGGCCGGUCCGCCUCACCGCGUGCACUGGUCCGGCUGGAUCUUUCCUUCUGGGGAGCCCCAUGGCCUUCACUGGCCGUGGGGGGAACCAGGACUUUUACUGUGAAAAAAUUAGAGUGUUCAAAGCAGGCCUUUGCUCGGAUACAUUAGCAUGGAAUAAUAGAAUAGGACGUGCGGUUCUAUUUUGUUGGUUUCUAGGACCGCCGUAAUGAUUAAUAGGGAUGGUCGGGGGCGUCAGUAUUCGGCUGUCAGAGGUGAAAUUCU
rnacentral:rRNA from 1 species